GGGCGGCCGGCGGUGGGCCGAGGGGGCGUUCGCUGCGCGGCGGGACGGCGCUUGGCCGUCUGCAGCCCUUUCCGAGCGAGAAGCGGCAGUUUGGGACACCUGCGCGGCUGCAGGCGGCUUUUCCUCCUGGAGCCGGUGCCCAGCUGGGUUUCCUCAGGUGGAGGGGCCCAGGGGAGCGCUGGGACCCGCCGAGCACCAUCCUGUGAGGCGGGGACGGGGCACUCCCCCGGGCGGCCUUUAAAGCACCGCUGUUCUGUUGGCUGCUGACCUUUCAUAGGUUAAGUAUACCAUUAAACCGUUCCUAAUCGUAGCCGAUUCACUUUUCGUAAAGUCACGCACGAUUAUCGUGGGAAAAAAAAGUUCAGGUGAUACGCUUUGCUUAAUGUGCCAUUUAUCCAGAUGUUAGGUAGAGGCAGGUACGAAGAAUACCUGUAGAAGUAAAAAUGUUAACUAUUCCUACAGUAAUAAAUACGGGAGCUGUUCUCUGCAACAGAGAGCAAGUGGCAGCCUACCAGACACACGGGAAACAAAUUUGACGUAAACGAUGAUUGCCUGCAGGAAAGACAAGCAAAGGCAAAUCAAGCAAGCAACUAGGAGGAAAAAAAAAAACAACAAACAACCAAUGCUUGAUAUUUUAUUAAAAAAAACCCAAAGCAACAAACUACCAUUAACUGUAAGUAUGACCUUUAAGGGCUAAAUUACAUUCACUAAAUAUAAGCAUCUAUGGAUACUAAGCUAUUCAUAAACAUUCUUAUGAAUUAUUUAGCUGUCUUUGGCAGAGCAAUAAUAAUCUAUAAGCAUUUUGUGUCUUCUUCCUUGAACAAAUAAAAAUGUACUUACAAGCCAUCUUGGAUUAACGUGGAGAGCUUUUUAGCCAAAGUGGUGACAGUGUUACAAAACACAUGGAACUAGGCAUC